rnacentral:rRNA from 1 species
UCAGGACGAACGCUGGCGGCGUGCCUAAUACAUGCAAGUCGAACGGUCUUUCUAUGGAAGCUUGCUUCCACUGAGAAGAUAGUGGCGAACGGGUGAGUAACGACGUGGGUAACCUGCCCAUAAGAGGGGGGAUAACAUCCGGAAACGGGUGCUAAUACCGCAUAGUUUUCUUGAUCGCAUGAUCGGGAAAGGAAAGACGGCCUUUGUGCUGUCGCUUAUGGAUGGACCCGCGGCGUAUUAGUUAGUUGGUGAGGUAACGGCUCACCAAGACGAUGAUACGUAGCCGACCUGAGAGGGUGAUCGGCCACAUUGGGACUGAGACACGGCCCAAACUCCUACGGAGGCAGCAGUAGGGAAUCUUCCGCAAUGGACGAAAGUCUGACGGAGCAACGCCGCGUGAGUGAAGAAAAGGUUUUCGGAUCGUAAAACUCUGUUGUCAGAGAAGAACAAGUUGGAGAGUAACUGCUCCAGCCUUGACGGUAUCUGACCAGAAAGCCACGGCUAACUACGUGCCAGCAGCCGC